CUGAGAAAUUUGACUGGAACUUUAGGAAGGAACAGACUUUGUGUUAACAUGCCCAGAGCCACAGUCAUUGCUCUGGAGCCACGGGGCUCCAGAUUCUUAUAAAAGAAUCACAGGCAGCAUUUUCCAUGGCAAAUCAUUGGCCCCAACUGAGCCUUUAAAUAAGUCUCUGGGUUCCUGUCAGCAUGACCUUGGAGUUGUUGAACACCAUUCAACUUUGAGUCACUAUGACUUGUAAUCCAAGCACCCGGCAGCUGAGGAGUGUCCUGGAGCUUAAAUUAUGUCCGAAUAAUUCCUUGAUUGUUCAUGAUUCUGUGUUGCGUCCUUCUCAGAUGUCUGAGCAUCGGAAGAUGCAGGUGCCUUUCACCUUCAUAACCAGCUCCAGCAGAACAUGCUUCUGAUCUGUUGUACAGAAGAAAUUAAAAGAGGACCUCACUGUUUACAGAUUAAAGGUGUUUAUCUUUUGUUAUUGCUUAUAAGAACAGUGUAGGUUCAGUGUGGAAAGGACGUGUUGACUUAUAAGAGAAUUG
rnacentral:lncRNA from 1 species